AAACAGUUAAAACUUUCAACAACGGAUCUCUUGGCUCUCGCAUCGAUGAAGAACGCAGCGAAAUGCGAUAGGUAAUGUGAAUUGCAGAACUCAGUGAAUCAUCGAAUCUUUGAACGCACAUUGCGCCCUCUGGCAUUCCUCAGGGCAUGCCUGUUUGAGCGUCA
rnacentral:rRNA from 1 species